AUCAAGAUGCAACUCAAGUUAUAUGUUUUUUUUUGUCCUGCCAGACAUUUCAAUAUAUUGCAUCUAUUUUAAAUUUUCUCCAGUGACCUCGGAACAAGCCGUUUUUUCAUAUCUCAAGGUCAUCUUUCAUUUCAUUCUCUGGAGAACUAUACCUUGGACUUUUGGUCCAAAAAUCUCUCGUUAUUCUAACGAGCUUUAUAUCGAAUUGAUGGCCAAUCAAUUCACUCUACCCUCAUAGAUAGAGGUAGAUUCAUAAUCUUAAUUUUUAUAGCGCUUUUUCAUUUAUUUAUUGUCGACAAUCUAUUUUCUCUUUGGUUCCAUUUUUUUUUAUCCGUACUGAUAUGGUUAAUCGAGAUCACUUUAUCUCAUCAAUGAUUUACCCAGGUACAUGACUGUUAUAUUAACCAUAUCAACGGUCUCAUCAUGAGAUUCAUCCUCUAUUUAUAUUUUUGCUCCUUUUCGAGGACUCUUUGGAACCAAAGUGGUCUAUCACGUCUCUAGCGUGCCAUAGACUCAUAUAUCGUCCGUUUAGGACACUAUUUUCUUAUUGGAGUAUUUUCACCUGGAAUAUGAAUAUCAUUAUUUCAUCAAAAUGUCUGGCAGGCAUUUUGGAAAUGGAUUAUCCUACUUUUCAUUGUAAUCCAUUUCACAUAUCUCAUUCCAUCAGCUUAUCAUAUGCUUCUAGCAAACUUGCGAGCAUAUUUCUAAGUAUCCAUAUACUUUAUCCCUCUAGAUUGUAUAUGUCUUUAUUACAUGCACAACUGCAUGUUUACACCCGAUCAUGGUGAUCAUCUUACUUGAAUUUACUUUAUAAAGUUCUUUUUCAAGUGCGAACAUAAUUUUUCAAUGUUCCACUCACUAGGAUUCUUUAAUUCUCCUCCUCGAGAUGAUGACACUCCAUGUCUAAAAUCUCGUACUGAAUCCCACUCUAGAACCAAUAACAUAUUCAGUUUUCCCAUUUUGGGAUGAAUUAUGUUUCAAAUCCUUUAGAGUGAGAUCUUAAUUUGGGGUCUGCUUAAAGAAAUCACAUAUAGUGAACUUGUUUGAUGAUUCAUCACCCAUGAUGGUUUCCUUUAUUUUCUUGACAUGCUAUAUGUGAAAAACUUUUGGUUUUUCAACAUUUCACAAUAAUGUCGAUAACAUUAUUGGAGAUGGCUAUAUAUCAGUAAACUCCAGGUUUACCACUCAUUUAUAAUUUUUCCAUCUUUUUCUUAUACAUGUCUUAUCAUAAGUUCCUCUAGAGCCAAUAGUAAUUUUUAUAUUACUAGAUACUAUACUUAUUUAUUUUGAGAGAAAAGAAAUAUUUGUUACCUUUAGUAGUCAUGUACGAUAAUUCAAUAUCUGCCAGGUUUAUCUAUCUCCAAAGCGGGAUACGGAUGUUAGGUUUUCGGGAACCAAUGUCUUUUAGAUUUCUGGUGAUUUGAGGGUGCUGGACUCUCCGGUGGUGGCAAAAUCUCUGAGAUUUCUCUUGGCGGAGCUUGGCUGGUAUUGGACUCCCCGUGCAGAGAGAUGAAGAAAGAUGAAUCUGUUAGAUGAAGUGAGAUAGAGAGAAUAACGUACAGAGUAGAGUAAGGUAGAUGAGAAGGAAACACAUUGAUUCUUAGCCAUUGUUUAUGUAAUCCAAUGGCCAAAAAUAGUGAUCCAUGAUUUCAAGAAUCAACCAAUAAGAAAGCAACACGAAGAUAAUGGUUUUUGGCCUUUAGAUCAUAAUUAAUCAAUGGCCCAUGAAAAACACCACAUUUUUUUUAUCUAUAGUUUUUUUAGAAAUUGUUUGAACUUAAAAAUUAGAUAACAUAUUUAACAUUUGAAAUAUAAACUUGUGGAUUUGAAUUUUGUGGUUAUAUAAUUAAAGAAAAACUGGUUUGGUAGUUUUGUGUUUGUGUUAAAACAAAUAGAAUUUAAAUUUGAAGGUACCUAAGUGUAUAUAGGGUUUGUUUAGGGAUAAAGAGUAGAACGUUUGUGUUAAAAUUCUGUGAGUAUACAUACAAUACAUGUAUUUUGGUGUUAACGUGUAUGUUUUUUGGAUUAAAAUUUUAAGACCAUUAGAUAUAAAGUUUAGGAGUUGAAAAAAAAAAGAUAUAAAGUUUAGGAUUUUAGAUUUAAAUAUUAUGUAUGAUUAUAGGGGUUAGAUUUAACGUAUAGGGUUUGGUGUUUAAUCUGAAAAGAUUUAAAUUUAUAAUUUUAUAUUUAAAAAUUGGAGUUUUAAGUUUUAAAAUAUGAUAAAGAUUGUUAGUGUGUUAUAGUUUAAAGUUUGUGUUUAGAGUUUAGGGUUUAAAAACUUAUUUGGGGGUUAGGGAUUCAAAAAUUCAACCAUAAUGUUAUUAAUUAUGUGCUAUUAAACAUACCCUGUCAUAGCGUUUUCAAAUAUAUCUUUCUAUCAUAGCGUUUCCAAAUAUACAAACGCUAUCUAAAAAGUAAGGAGUAUGUCAACCAUAGCGGAAACGCAAAAAAAAACACUAUCCUCGAAUGCUAUCAAAACCCUUAUUUCUUGUAAUGGUCAGAGGAUUAACCACCAGAAGUCAAGCAUCUAUUUUGAUAAAAAAAAAUAUUACACUGGAAAGAAGACUUCAAAUAAAGGCUAAGCUAGGAAUAGAUCAAGAGAGAGGAGAAGGGAUUUAUCUAGGUUUACCUGAAGCUUUUGGAGGCUCUAAAAUCUUAAUUCUCAGCUAUUUAAAAGACAGGAUGAGUGAAAGAGUACACGGCUGGCAGACCAGAUUCCUAUCACCAGCAGGCAAGGAGGUUUUGUUGAAGUCAGUGGUCCUAGCUUUCCCAACUUACACCAUAUCCUGCUUCCUCCCUCCCCAAAAUGAUCUUUCCUCCCUCCCCAAAAUGAUCUGUAAGAAAAUAAUGUCGAUAAUGUUUGAGUUCUGGUGGAGUACAAAGAGAGAGACCAGCGGCAUCUACUGGAAAAUUUGGGACCAGUUAAGAAAAAACAAAGGAAAGGGUGGGCUGGGUUUCAGAGUAUUCACUACUAGCAAGAGUUCUCAAGAGCAGGUACUAUGCAAAAUCGAACCCCUUACCUGCAAAUUUUGGUUCUUGCCCCUCUUAUUUCUGGAGAAGCAUACACUCGGCACAAGGAUUAAUGAAACAAGGCGCAAGAGUUCUGAUAGGCAACAGAGAGGAUAGAUACAAAGGUGUGGCAAGAUCAUUGGAUUGAGCAGAAACCAGCAAGACAAGCGAAAGUGGUAAGAUGGGACAGAGAGGCCACAAGGCAAAGAGUUCCUCAGAACCUGAGAGUUUGCGAUUUAUUGUGUAACCAAGGAAGAGAUUGGAACCUCACAUCGCUUGCAAAGAUCUUCCCUCAGGAGGAGGAGUGGAGACAAAUAGUAUGGAUCAGAACCUGUGGAAGUCGAAGAAGAGACGUCUAUAUCUAGGAUUACAACAAGACAGGCUACUACAUAGUGAAAUGUAGAUAUUGGGUCCAAACCAAUGUAAUAGGCAAGCAACAAUCACCUAUGGAAGAGCAAUCCAGCAUGGAUCCUCUCUUUCAGUUAGCAUAGGACUCUGAUACCAGCACGAAGAUUCAUCACUUUUGUGGCGAUAUAUAAGUAACACCAUUCCAGUUGCGGGGAAUAUGGCGAGAAGACACAUCUCCAAAGAAGCUGGUUGCCUAAGGUGUGGCUACGACACAAAAUCAGUGAAUUAUGUGCUAUUUCAAUGUCCUUUUGCUAGACUAGUGUGGGCUCUAUCUCCAAUCCAUGCUCCUCCUGAUGGUUUAUUUAUGAAUUCCUUAUACUCAAAUGUGUAUCAUGUGCUUAAUAUAUGGAAAUAGUCCCCUAACGAUGAUAUACAUGCUAGUUCCUUGGUUGUUAUGGAGAUUAUCGAAAAACAAGAAUGAAUUAAUGUUCAAAGGAAAGGAUUAUGAGGCAAUGAGUGUCAUAAGGAAAGCCCAUGAGGAUGCAGAGGAAUGGCAGAAGAGGAGACAUGAUGAAUUAGAAGAGGUAAAACAUACAUAGGUUAAAGCUCCCACAAAUACUAACCAGCGAUGUUCAUGGACUCCACCACCUGCAAAUUGGCUAAAAUUCAAUAGCGACGGAGCGUGGAAAAAGAACAAAGAAAACAGUGGUCUUGGGUGGCUGCGUAGAGAUGAAACAUGACAUGUAUUGUGGGCAGAGGCAAGAUCAGUGACAAGAGCGGCAUCCUCCAUUAUAACAAAAGCUGAGGCGUUUAAAUGGGCUGCAUAAUCGCUGGCUACUUUUGGAUACAAAGGUAUAAUAUUUGAGUCUGUCUCUCUUACCUUAGUCAGGAUAUUAAACGGACUGAAGAAGUAUGACCAAUUUUACAGCCUACUAUAGAGGAAAUUCGUCACUCUUUGUCACAGACUGAGAGCUAUGAAGUGAGAUAUUAUCCAACAGGAGGAAAUAAGGCAGCUGACAGAAUAGCAAAGGAAACUUUCACUUUUUUGUCCAAUGUUCUCAAGUUGUAUUAUGUUGUGCCAUUUUGGUUAGAAUAUCAGGUUGGGCAUGGUAAAAUAAUGGUGGAAAAUCAUAUUUAGUGAAUGAAAGUAGUUGUUGUGUUGAUGUCAAAAAAAAAGAAAAAAGUUGUUAAGUUUUUUUUAAAAAUGAAAAAAAAAGUUAAAAGUGGAAGCAAAAGUUUAAAAAAAAAGGAAAAUUGGUCUGAAUAGCCAUGAAAUAUAAUGUAAUUAAGUAUCUAACUAAAAAAACGACACCCUCAAUUAUUACUACAAUAUAUACUAUAUUACCCCUCCUUCCCGGUUAAUACGUGCACAAACUUCUUCUUCUUCACUUACUUAUCAUCAUCACUUCUUCGAAACACUAUCAUUUUUUUGUAAAAAAAGUAUCAAUCAUUUUGGGUCUUUAUCUAUCACGAUAGCAAUUAUCAUCAUUGCUCUUAUUUAUUAACAAAUUUUCUUUAAAAAACUACCAUUUCCUUGAUAUCAAUCACCACUUCUUCCGUCAUAACCCCACCACUCGUCGGUUGUAUAUCUUUUUUGAAUAAUAUGUAUUAUGCUAUUUCUUUGUUACUAUUCUAUUUUAGUAGUGUUUCAUAUUAUGUAUUAUGUGCAUAUUUUGAUAUUUUGGUUAUGGUUUAUAUUUCUUUUUAGGGUUUAAGGAUUAGUGUUUUGGGUUUAGUUUAUGGAAGGUUUAGAUUGACGUUGGGGUAAACAUUACCUAUUCUCUACAAUUAUAGACAUUUCAAAAUUUUAAUAAUAUGUACUAUGUUAUUUUUUUUGUUACUAUUCUAUUUUGAUAAUGUUUCAUAUUGUGUACUAUGUGCAUAUUUUGAUAUUUGGGUUAUGGUUUAUAUUUCUGUUAAGAUUUAGUGAUUAUUGUUUUGAAUUUAGUUUAUAGAAGGUUUGGGUUGGCAUUGGGGUAAACAUUACCUCAUUCCCUGCAAUGAUAGACAUUUCAAAAUUUGAAAAAUAUGUACUACGCUAUUCAUUUGUUACUAUUCUAUUUUGAUAAUGUUUUAUAUUAUGUACAAUUUACAUAUUUUGAUAUUUGAGUUAUGGUUUAUAUUUUUUUUAGGGUUUACUGAUCACUGUUUUGGGUUUAGUUUUGUUAAUUUUAGACAAACAUAGUAUAUUAAUAUAUUUAAUCAUUUUAUAAUUUCACUAAUAUGAACUAUAUCAUUUAGCAUGUUAUACUCUAUUUAUGUACUACCGGUAUAAUUACUAUCAUCGUGGAUGCUAUAACCACCACAAAUCUAACAACACUUUUUAUUUAAUUUUUAUGUAAAUGACAUAUGUCUUUGAUGUGCUAUUAUAUAGAGGAAGGAGAUAACUCGGAAGAAAAUAGAACAAAUGCUAUAAAAUUUAAUUAUUUUUAUAUAUAAAGAAGACUUUGAAUCACUCCCAGUGGGUCCAUCUCGGAUGCCACGUCAUCAAUUACUGUAUUCUGGAAGUGACACCUGUCCACCUUAAAUGAAACGAUGCGCUUCAUUAAGUUUUUGUACGGGAUUUUUUAUUUUUGGCAAAGGUGGCCUUUGUUUCGUCCGUUAGGGCCCUGCGAAUAAGACCAGAAAGUGCUAACCUGUUGUGAUUUAUUUGGUGAAGUAUAUGUAUUAUUGCAAAAGAAAAACAAAUAAUGGAAAAGAGAAAGAGAGAUGUGACGUGAGAGUGAGAGAGAUAUAGAUAAUUUAGAGUGUUGUGUUUCUUGUAGUCAACGAGAGAGAGACUAUAAGAGUUUUUCAUUCUAUGAUAAUUAUUUAAAAGGAACUGGUACAACAUAUUUAAAGGGGAAGUCAGUCAGUUUAUUUUGACCGACAUAAGGAGAAAAUGGACAAGUGUCCUAGUGAUAAUGCAAGAGACAUAAGGUGGUGAAGACAAGUGUCCAGGCAAGAUGACUAAUCAUUUUUUAUAACACUCCCCCUUGAUUAUUCAUCUUGUAUUACGUAGUGCGUCGUUAAAAAUCUAAUCAUAGAAAAACUCAUUGGGACAAAAACCAUAACAAGGAAAAAAGAGUACACUGCCGUAAUCUCCCCCUGAUAAUAGUAGACAUAACUUUCUCGUCACAGGUCACGCAAAUGCCGCAUUCCGAUACCGUAGACGUUUUUUCGGAAUAUCGUAGUAGGAAGAGCUUUUGUAAACAAAUCAGCUGGAUUGUCGCAUGACCGUAUAUAUUUGAUAUCCACUUCUUUAUUUUUCUCGAGCUCCCUUAUGUACGAGAAAAAUCUUGGAGGGAUGUGCUUUGUUCUAUCGCUUUUGAUGUAGCCUUCUAUGAGUUGAGCAACACAAGCCGAGUUAUCUUCAAAUAUUUUCGUCGGCUUUUUCUCGUUGACUAUUCUGUUUGAUUCUUGUAUGUGGUGACUCAUUAACCGAAGUCACACAAAUUCUCGACAUGCUUCGUGAAGCGCAAUAGUGUUUGCAUGAUUCGAAGAUGUCGCAACCAGAUUUUGUUUCUGGGACCGCCAAGAGAUUGCGGUUCCACCAGUUGUAAAAUUAUAUCCGGUUUGUGCUCGACUUUAUAAAUAGCAUGUAUCUGCAAAACCAUACCAAACUCGGGGUUUCUAGGUUAAACUAAUUCUGAAUCAAUACGUACCUUGGAGAGAACUGACAUGUUCUCGAUGCCAUUUUAAUUUCCAUAAAUAGGAAAUGAGAUGUAUCUUGCAAAGACAUUAGUGUCUAAACGUAUAUUUAAUCAAAUACAACUCGCAAGAUAUAUAAGCUCACAUAUGCUUUAUUACCAUUAGUAUCUCCAAAGUACUUAUUUAUAUAAGAUCUUACCAGGAUCUUUUAAUAUCUCUUUCAACAUCGAGAGAUCUAUUUACCAUUGAAGUACUCAAAGGAGUCGCUUUAUUCAUACCAAAGUGUUUUAAUAACCUUUUCAUAUGGAUUGAUUGAUGCACAAUUAUUCUUUCUCGGACAUGCUCUAUCUGGAGCCCAAGACAAAACUUUGUCUUGCCGAGAUCUUUCAUUUCGAACUCUUCUUUCAUAUGAGUUUGAGCAUCAUCAACCUCCUUUUGAGUUCCAAUUAUGUUCAGGUCAUCUACAUAUACAUCAAUGAUCACAAAGCCAGAUGACAAUUUCUUUAUAGAAAUGCAUGGACAUAUCGCAUUAUUAACAUAUCUCUUUUUCAAGAUAUAUUCACUUAAGCGAUUGUACCACAUGCGUCCGGAUUGCUAUAAUCCGUAAAAUGAUCGCUGUAACUUGACCGAACAAAUCUCUCUGGACUUUUAUUUCAAUGCCCCUGACAUUUUCAAUCCCUCAGGGAGUUUCAUAUAUAUAUAUUGUUAUCCAACGAUCCAUACAAAUAUGCAGUCACAACGUCGAUGAGAUGCAUCUCAAGAUUUUUAGACGCCGUUAGGCUCAUCAAAAAUCUAAAUAUAAUUGCAUCCAUUACCGGGAAAUACGUUUCGUCAAAAUCAAUUCCCAGUCUAUGAGAAAAUCUUUGGACAACUAAUCAGGUUUUAUAUCGUGUUACUUUUUUCACGAAUACCCACUUAUAUCCAACAAGAUUUAUAUUUUCAGACGUUAUGACUAUAGGUCCAAAGACAUUCUUUUUAUUUAGGGAGAAUAAUUCAAUUUGAAUGGCCUUCUGCCACUCCUCCCAAUCAUGUCUUUUUAACAAAUGGACCUUGGAUCGGGAUCAUCACUUUUAUGAUCGGUCUUUUUGGACACAGAAAAGGAGAACAUUCCAUCAACAUCUUUUAUCUUAUAACUUUUUAUCAAGGGUGUAGUUGAUGGAAAUCUCAUACUUUUCUGUUCCCUUUUAGUCAUCUGGAUCAUCUUUAUUUGGUUCAUGUUGAACUUUUUCAUCUAUGCCUUCUUUCAGACAUUUUUCAGUAUCAGGUUCUUUUGGAACCUUUCUGCUUUGCUCAACAAAUUUCUUUUUCUUUCGGAGAUUUUUAUCUUUAGAACCCGCUAGUCUCCCCCUCUAUAACUGAACCCUAGGUUCAUUCAUUUUGUUACCAUCAGUUUGUUCUUUAGGAACAUCAACUCUGGAUGGAACAUUUUCAGUGGGUAUAUCAUGUCGUAUCUGUGAACACACUUAGUCACUUGUUUGCCAAAUUAUGCAAAUGCAUAAUUUUCUGAAUUUCCAGCCCUCUUUGAUUCGUAGGGGACCAAAGUGUAACAACAACUGUGUACACCAUGUAAUCUCUUUAGGAAUUUCUCAAAUUCCUCCCCCUAACGCUGGAAAUUCAUCCUCCGGCAAAUCGUGCCGUAAACAUAUCACUAGUUACUGGUUCAAGAUACCUUACAUACGGCUUGUUCUAACUCUUUCAGAGUUUUACAUAUUCCCGAGAGUAUCUUUAACUCUCCAGGGACUACUAAACAUCAAGAUGCAACUCAAGUUAUAUGUUUUUUUUUUGUCCUGCCAGACAUUUCAAUAUAUUGCAUCUAUUUUAAAUUUUCUCCAGUGACCUCGGAACAAGCCGUUUUUUCAUAUCUCAAGGUCAUCUUUCAUUUCAUUCUCUGGAGAACUAUACCUUGGACUUUUGGUCCAAAAAUCUCUCGUUAUUCUAACGAGCUUUAUAUCGAAUUGAUGGCCAAUCAAUUCACUCUACCCUCAUAGAUAGAGGUAGAUUCAUAAUCUUUAUUUUUAUAGCGCUUUUUCAUUUAUUUAUUGUCGACAAUCUAUUUUCUCUUUGGUUCCAUUUUUUUUAUCCGUACUGAUAUGGUUAAUCGAGAUCACUUUAUCUCAUCAAUGAUUUACCCAGGUACCUGACUGUUAUAUUAACCAUAUCAACGGUCUCAUCAUGAGAUUCAUCCUCUAUUUAUAUUUUUGCUCCUUUUCGAGGACUCUUUGGAACCAAAGUGGUCUAUCACGUCUCUAGCGUGCCAUAGACUCAGAUAUCGUCCGUUUAGGACACUAUUUUCUUAUUGGAGUAUUUUCACCUGGAAUAUGAGAUAUCAUUAUUUCAUCAAAAUGUCUGGCAGGCAUUUUGGAAAUGGAUUAUCCUACUUUUCAUUGUAAUCCAUUUCACAUAUCUCAUUCCAUCAGCUUAUCAUAUGCUUCUAGCAAACUUGCGAGCAUAUUUCUAAGUAUCCAUAUACUUUAUCCCUCUAGAUUGUAUAUGUCUUUAUUACAUGCACAACUGCAUGUUUACACCCGAUCAUGGUGAUCAUCUUACUUGAAUUUACUUUAUAAAGUUCUUUUUCAAGUGCGAACAUAAUUUUUCAAUGUUCCACUCACUAGGAUUCUUUAAUUCUCCUCCUCGAGAUGCUGACACUCCAUGUCUAAAAUCUCGUACUGAAUCCCACUCUAGAACCAAUAACAUAUUCAGUUUUCCCAUUUUGGGAUGAAUUAUGUUUCAAAUCCUUUAGAGUGAGAUCUUAAUUUGGGGUCUGCUUAAAGAAAUCACAUGUAGUGAACUUGUUUGAUGAUUCAUCACCCAUGAUGGUUUCCUUUAUAUUAACGGAAUCUUCUUCUUCGUCCACUUCCACGACCACGAUAGGGGGUUUCAACCGCAUCUACACCCUCGUCCUUUUCUAGUAGGACCGACUUGAUGGUUUAGUAUCAUGAUUUCAUUUUUUUUUCAGUUUUCAAGGAGGAUUUACAUCAACUCCAACUAUUUAUUGAAUCCUUUCUUUCAAGGAUUUAAUUAUUCAAAGAUCUUCUAGAUCUUUUCUCAUGAUACACCUCAUCUUAUAAACCAUCAUUAAAGUGGUGUAAAUUAUCAGGGCUUUAUCUUUUUCUCAUCCAAUAUAGAUUAUAUCGAUGAUUUUUCAAAGCUCAUUCUCUCAGGUGCAUCUUUGCACCCACUGUCCAAGCCUUAUAAUUAUUUCUCGUAAUAUCAAGGGCAUUUAUUUUGAGCUUUGUCAAAAUUCACUUGAUAACAUUAUUCAUAGAAUAAUAUUAUAGUAAAGACAAGAAUUUAAAUGCAUAAAUUAAAAGCAUAAAAUAAAUGCAGAAAUUAAAUUGCAGAAAUUUAAAUUGCAGAAAUUUAAGUAGCAUAAAUAAAAUCGGGAGGCUCAGCCUACCACAUGAUCCGAGGAGUCAUAGACUACCAUAUUGAUCAUUUUUCAAAGUCCGAGGAGACAUAGUCUACCAUUUUGACUUUUACUUAUUUCAAGGUCCGAGGAGACUUAGUCUACCAUUUUGACUUUUACUUAUUUCAAGGUCCGAGGAGACUUAGUCUACCAUUUUUGACCUUUUCUUUUUAUUUAUGGAGGCAAAGCCUUCCACGUAAAUUUUUUUUUUCAAUUCACGGAGGCAAAGCCUACCACGUGUUUCUCUUAUCGUGAAGGCAUAGCCUACCAUAACGAUCAGUCGGGAAAGACAACGCCUAUCAUCCUGGAAAAUAAACGGAGAAGGCCUAGCCUCUCACUCCGGAAUAAUAAUAAAAUUUAAAUAAAUUAAGUUUAUUGAAACACAUAAAUUUAAACAUUACCUCGGCUGGUUUAAGAACUUUUGGAUUGAUAAACUUCAGUUGGUCAGAGCCUCGUGCUGAUAACGUGUUGUUAUUUAUUUGGUGAAGUAUAUUUAUGAUUGCAAAAGAAAAACAAAUAAUGGAAAAGAGAAAGAGAGAUGUGACGUGAGAGUGAGAGAGAUAUAGAUAAUUUAGAGUGUUGUGUUUUUUGUAGUCAACGAGAGAGAGAAACUAUAAGACUUUUUCAUUCUAUGAUAAUUAUUUAAAAGGAACUGGUACAACAUAUUUAUAGGGGAAGUCAGUCAGUUUAGUUUGACCGACAUAAGAAGAAAAUGGACAAGUGUCCUAGUGAUAAUGCAAGAGACAUAAGGUGGUGAAGACAAGUGUCCAGGCAAGAUGACUAAUCAUUUUUUUUAUAACAUAACCCUAAUUGUCUCCUUUGUUCAUCUGAGUUUGAGUUUGGCAGCGGCGAUAAUGACGAUCAAUCGUUCUCUAUCAUCCUGUAAAGGACUGCGACUUUAGUGACAUUAAUACAGACGUCCGUCGGGGAAAUCUCUGCUAUAAAUAGGGUGUUUUUCUGAUUUGAAGACCGGGAAGUGUUCAUCGGUUGUGGAGGCUUGGCACUAUAGGGUUCUUUCUCCGGGUUGCGAUCAGAGUAAGCUGUUCUUCCUCCUCAAUAAUUUCUGAUCUCUCGGGAGGCUCCUCGAUUUCAAGAGAAGUAAUCUGCAAAGUCGUUCGUUAGGGCUACGACUUUAUAUUCAUCUCGAUUGCCCAUAUAAACAUUUCUAAGAAUGAAUCAUGUAAGGAUUACUCUUGCUCUGCGUUUUGUAUCUUUAUAUAUAUAUAUUUCCUGUAAUGGCAUCACUACAAGUUCUAGCUUUGAUUUUGUUUCAUGAGUCAAUUUAUAUGGAUUGCGAAGGGAAACACAAAGAUUUAAUAUGUUGGUUAUUGAUUGUUUAAAUUAGUUAUACAAACAGGUGUUCUCUUCCUUCUCCUGUGCGCAGAACAAGAAAGACCUUGGAAUCUCACAGUAACUCAUCUUUCUCUCUUCUUCAGUUUGAGAGAUAGGCUAAGUGGAUAAAUUAAGCUGUAAACUAAAACAUUGAAUCAGAAUGCACCAAAAAUAUUUACUUUUAUCUUUGUUGUUCUUGAUCUUUUUAGAAACUUUUACUUUCAGAUACACUUAAGAGGAUAUUCUAGAAACGUAUACCAUGUGAAGGAGAAGAUUAUGUAAAUUGCAAUUUUGUUAACUCUUUGAAAGAGGUCAGUGAAACCUUUAUUUUUGUUAAUACUAAUGCAUACUGUACCAUUAUAUUUCACAUUGUCGAACAGGGAAAGAUUUUGUUA